ACGGGACCCCGCACAAGCGGUUGGAUCAUGUUGUUUAAUUCGAUGAUACGCGAAGAACCUUACCAGGUCUUGACAUCCCUUGCAAAGCUAUGGAGACAUAGUGGAGGUUAUCAAGGAGACAGGUGGUGCAUGGUUGUCGUCAGCUCGUGUCGUGAGAUGUUGGGUUAAGUCCCGCAACGAGCGCAACCCUUAUUGCUAGUUACCAUCAUUCAGUUGGGGACUCUAGCGAGACUGCCAGUGAUAAACUGGAGGAAGUGGGGAUGACGUCAAAUCAUCAUGCCCCUUAUGACCUGGGCUACAAACGUGAUACAAUGGCUGAACAAAGGGCAGCGAAGCAGUGAUGUGGAGCGAAACCCAAAAAGCAGUCUCAGUUCGGAUUGAAGUCUGCAACUCGACUUCAUGAAGUCGGAAUCGCUAGUAAUCGCGGAUCAGAACGCCGCGGUGAAUACGUUCUCGGGGUUU
rnacentral:rRNA from 1 species